UACGAGGGGGGCGAGCGUUGUUCGGAAUUAUUGGGCGUAAAGGGUGCGUAGGCGGUUUGGUAAGUCUCGUGUGAAAUCUCCGGGCUCAACUCGGAGCCUGCACGAGAAACUGCCGGGCUUGAGUGUGGGAGAGGUGAGUGGAAUUCCUGGUGUAGCGGUGAAAUGCGUAGAUAUCAGGAGGAACACCGGUGGUGUAAACGGCUUUCUGGACCAUAACUGACGCUGAGGCACGAAAGCGUGGGUAGCAAACAGG
rnacentral:rRNA from 1 species